GUAUGUAUCCCAACGAGAAGCCCAUUUUACAUUGCUUUCCUGGAAAGAAACAUCAUAGGUGAAUACAACGUCCUUAUCUGCAUCUACUUCUUGAGGAACAGAGCUACCUGGAACCAAAUCUUUUGUUUUCUCAUUGCACGUUGUAACCUGAGGGUUCUUUUCAUCCCACUCCUUGUACUCAUGAUUGAUGCUGUUUGGUGUCACUUCAAAUCCAACAAUACGAGCCGUAUCAGUUUCAGGAUCCUUGUGG
rnacentral:misc_RNA from 1 species